rnacentral:lncRNA from 1 species
GUUCUGGCUGGCUGGCUGCACUUCGAUAUGACACACAUUCGUUGGUCAAUCAUGCCCCCUGCCCGAUUGAUAUUUCACACAAUCAGCAUUCCGCUACGAAAGUUGGCAAACGUUGCAAGAUUUGAUUUCGUUUCGAUUUAUUUGGGGGUUUCUCUUAUCAACGGACUUUAUGGCUUUUUAUGUGAAUGGCAGAUCAGAUCGGGAGACCGUCGUUCCGUCGGUCGGUCGAUCGUUGUGUCGUUUUGUUUCCGGUGCACACGCGCAGUAGAAUUCUGCAAGAGUGGCACAAAAACUAUAUAAGAAAACGCCCCAAAGAACCGAGGGAAACACCGAAGAACACCCGAACACCGAAAGAAGGAAAACGACAAACGAUGUCUACCGCUGCCGUUGCUGCUGCUGCUGCUGCUGCUGCCGUUGAUGUCGAUGCCGAAACGAGUAUAUGCACGGGUAUUUAAUGAACCGGUUCUCGCAGAAAUGAUUGUGUUAAGCUUUUGCUUUUGUUUAGUAAAUUAUGCACAGGGCGACCGAGACGGGGUGCAGGAGAUUGGCAAAGGAAGUGCGGGGGGGAGACAUUUGUUUAACAAACAAAAACAAAUCUAAUCAAAUGCAUUCCACAGUACACUGACACACACGCACAAAACUUGUUGGGUUUUCUUAUCACUUCAGAGAGAGAGAGAGAGAGAGAGAGCGAAGGAGAGUGGGAGAGGGAGCAUGAGCUAGCUAUUGACCGUAAGCUCUAUUAAUAAUUCCACCCUGCUUUGCGUGCUCCUUGCUCGUCUCCUUUUAAUUACCGCAAAUUGUCAUGCAACACAGAAUCUCGAGUCGAUUCGAGUCGAAACGAAUCGAAACGCAUCGAAUCCAAAACAAAAGCGCUUGCGAAAAAAACUGCGAUCUGUGGCAACAAACGGGACAAAAAAGCUGCGCGGUGCCUGCCUCAUGCUCUGCCUGCUGC